CCUANGGGUGGCAGCAGUAGGGAAUAUUGGACAAUGGGCGAAAGCCUGAUCCAGCAACGCCGCGUGGAUGACGAAGCAUCUUGGUGUGUAAAAUCCUGUCAGUGGGGACGAAACGUAGAGGUAGGAAAUGGCCUCUGCCUGACUGUACCCGCAGAGGAAGUUCCGGCCAACUCCGUGCCAGCAGCCGCGGUAAUACGGGGGGAACGAGCGUUGUUCGGAUUUACUGGGCGUAAAGGGCACGCAGGUGGGAAAAUAAGUCAGAUGUGAAACCCCAAAGCUUAACUCUGGGACUGCAUUUGAUACUGUUUUUCUUGAGUACGAGAGAGGAUGGCAGAAUUCUUGGUGUAGCGGUGAAAUGCGUAGAUAUCAAGAAGAAUACCGGUGGCGAAGGCGGCCAUCUGGCUCGAUACUGACGCUCAGGUGCGAAGGUCGGGGGAGCAAACAGGAUUAGAUACCCCUNUANUC
rnacentral:rRNA from 1 species